rnacentral:lncRNA from 1 species
GCCUAUCCAUGACGGUAGCGUUGUUCCUCCUCCUCCCUCCACUCUCCCCCUCUCUCCAUCAUAUCAUUCUCUCUCGCCGCCGUCGUUUUCCUGCAAAACAAGAACGAGAAAAUUUGUAUAAUUUCAUCCCCUGUUUUCCGACUACUCUGCCAUGGCUUCUUCCAAUUCCUCUUCAGGCGUCACCCAUAUCUCCAAUCCUUGCGUCUAUGGUACGAUCAUCCCUUUCCCUUUCAUACCCAUGUCGUCGACAUUUUUACUUCUUCUGGCUUUUUCCUCGUUUCGCUUAUUGAGACUUGUUUCAAAGCAAAGCAGGGGACUUUGUGGAGAAGAAAUCCAGGCUUUCUAAAUGGCUGAGCAAGCUCUUUA